rnacentral:misc_RNA from 1 species
CUUUUACAAAGGAAAGAGGAUGGAAAUGGAAGCAAGGAAUCAUCGGAGACAUGAUGAGUCUGUGUUGCUCUUUUCGGCAAUAGAUUUUCUUCAUUUGGCGAGAGAAAAAUAACCAGAAAACAAUUUUUAUGCAGAACUAGGUUUUAUAGCCUUCAAACGGUCAGGUUUUCAGAAGUUCCCAUUUUUCUUUUGCCCCACAGUUUACCCAGACACGUAUGUUGUGGAGGUUAAUAGUGAUGUUCUAUUUUUUUUUUGUAAAUGCAUACUGGAGGAGGCUGGAUAGUGAUACUAUCUUUUUCUGUUUAAACUAGUGAUUGGACAUGGCCAG